rnacentral:rRNA from 1 species
CCUACGGGAGGCAGCAGUGGGGAAUAUUGCGCAAUGGGCGAAAGCCUGACGCAGCGACGCCGCGUGAGGGAUGAAGGUCUUCGGAUCGUAAACCUCUGUCAGCAGGGAAGAACGGUCACUGUGCUAAUCAGCAGUGAAUUGACGGUACCUGCAAAGGAAGCACCGGCUAACUCCGUGCCAGCAGCCGCGGUAAUACGGCGGGUGCGAGCGUUAAUCGGAAUUACUGGGCGUAAAGCGCUCGUAGGCGGUAUGGCAAGUCAAGGGGUAAAUCCCCGCGCUUAACGUGGGAACUGCCUUUGAAACUGGCAAACUGGAGUGUGUGAGAGGUAAGUGGAAUUCCAGGUGUAGGAGGGAAAUCCGUAGAUAUCUGGAGGAACAUCAGUGGCGAAGGCGACUAUCUGGCACAUAACUGACGCUGAGGAGCGAAAGCGUGGGUAGCAAACAGGAUUAGAUACCCGGGUAGUC